UACAGAGGUCUCAAGCGUUGUUCGGAUUCAUUGGGCGUAAAGGGUGCGUAGGCGGCGCGGUAAGUCGGGGGUGAAAUCUCGGAGCUUAACUCCGAAACUGCAUUCGAUACUGCCGUGCUUGAGUACUGGAGAGGAGACUGGAAUUUACGGUGUAGCGGUGAAAUGCGUAGAUAUCAGGAGGAACACCGGUGGCGAAGGCGGGUCACUGGGCCGAUACUGACGCUGAGGAGCGAAAGCGUGGGGAGCGAACAGG
rnacentral:rRNA from 1 species